ACCCGGAUGGCUCAGUUGGCAGAGCGUCUGACUUUGGCUCAGGUCAUGAUCUCACGGUUCGCAGGUUCAAGCCCCGCGUCGGGCU
rnacentral:tRNA from 1 species